rnacentral:rRNA from 1 species
GCUCACCAAGUCAAUGAUCUUUAGGGGGCCUGAGAGGGUGAUCCCCCACACUGGUACUGAGACACGGACCAGACUCCUACGGGAGGCAGCAGUGAGGAAUAUUGGACAAUGGGUGGAAGCCUGAUCCAGCCAUCCCGCGUGAAGGACGACGGCCCUAUGGGUUGUAAACUUCUUUUGUACAGGGAUAAACCUACUCUCGUGAGGGUAGCUGAAGGUACUGUACGAAUAAGCACCGGCUAACUCCGUGCCAGCAGCCGCGGUAAUACGGAGGGUGCGAGCGUUAUCCGGAUUUAUUGGGUUUAAAGGGUCCGCAGGCGGGCUAGUAAGUCAGUGGUGAAAGCCUACAGCUUAACUGUAGAACUGCCGUUGAUACUGCUAGUCUUGAGUAUAGUUGAGGUAGCUGGAAUGAGUAGUGUAGCGGUGAAAUGCAUAGAUAUUACUCAGAACACCGAUUGCGAAGGCAGGUUACCAAGUUAUAACUGACGCUGAGGGACGAAAGCGUGGGGAGCGAACAGGAUUAGAUACCCUGGUAGUCCACGCCGUAAACGAUGCUAACUCGUUUUUGGGCUUUUGGGUU